rnacentral:rRNA from 1 species
UACGUAGGUGGCGAGCGUUAUCCGGAUUUAUUGGGUUUAAAGGGUGCGCAGGCGGGCUGUUAAGCCGGCGGUAAAAAUUCAGGGCUCAACCCUGUCGAGCCGUCGGAACUGGCAGUCUUGAGUGGGCGAGAAGUAUGCGGAAUGCGUGGUGUAGCGGUGAAAUGCAUAGAUAUCACACAGAACACCGAUUGCGAAGGCAUCUGACGAAUCGGAGAUUGACGCUGAUGCACGAAAGCGUGGGUAUCGAACAGG